CAUGGCUGCUGUUUUAGCUGAGUGUGCAGGAUGAGGGAUGAGGCUUGGAGCUGAAGAGGCGUCGUGAAAAAUAACACAAAAUGCAGCAUCUCCUCUCUGCAGUCAAGGGAACCCAGAGAUAAACCACCGUAGAUGGAGUGCUCCUUUCCCCACCAGCAGGAAAUGCCAUCCAGGCCUUUGGAUACGAGGCGGACAGUGCGCAGAACAAAGAGGGCUCUAUUCCGGGGCCCUCGGCGACAGCGAGGCCUGGGCCUGAUGGGUCAACGAGCAGCUCGGAGCCCCACUACAUCCCCAACGACGUCCAGCCAGGGGAGGAUGUCCUCGGCAAGUCUCACCUGGAGCCCGUCAGUGGUUACGGUGGUCUGAUCCGGCAGCAGGACCAGCCCGGCGACGGCUCAGCCAGUCUGAGGGGCCCCUGGGCACUGGUCCCGGGCCUUGUCUUGGCCCUCGUCCUGCUGCAGCAGGCCG
ensembl:lncRNA